rnacentral:lncRNA from 1 species
GGCCGGCUCCGGGUUCUUUCCGUUGUCCCCAAGCCCUCCGGUAAGAAGGGAGGUUCUGAUUGGUUUAACGAGGAGACGGACGCACGGCUGGACCAAUAAGAUGGUAGUUUCUCCGUGCGUGGGCGGGCCUUGGCCGUAGAGACACAUCUCCUGGGCAGUUGAGGAAGCUGAGGCCUGCUGGCCGCUCCCAGAGCAGCUGGGCGUGCUAGAAAGCGUGAGGUGUCAAAGGGAAACACUGCCGUGACAGAGACCAGGUGGCAUGUCUUUUAGUCAGCGGGAAAUUUCAGAUUUUCUGCCCAGGCGAUGUCCACGGCAGCUCGGUUGCCAUGCGUACGUCUGCGUUGUUUGUCUCCUCAUUCAGAACUGACACCUGAAGUUUGGUUUCUCUGUGAUGGGCAAGUGCCCUGGCCAGUCUCCAAAUGGCUGCUCUGUAAGGUAUCAGACACACAGAGAGAAAUGUGUUGGCAACCACAGCAUGGAAAUCAAGAAGGAGGAAGUGACACACUCUGCCUCUCAAGUGAGAACUAACGAAAAGACAUCUGUAUCAGGGAGAAAGCAAAAGAUCUUGAGACAAGUAUUUAAGGAUGAGCAGGGACCCCUGAGGAGGCUGAGGGCACCUGAGACAGAAACUAGAUUCAGGUAAGGCAUCCAUGAAGAGAAGCAUCAGAGUGUG